AGGGGAUGGAGACAGUAAAACAUAUAAAGCAAUACGCAGGAAUCAUGAUUCAAUUGUAAACAUGAAGAAAGAAAUAUGGGCCACGCUUUAUCAUAAGAUUUCUACGGACGACAAUUCGCAGCACGAUAGAUGUCCAGAUGGCGAAAAUUCCUGGUGCUCAUGGAAACAGGCUAAAGUUCGCAACGAACUCGACAAUUAUCAACACAAACCAGCAAUGAAAGAUGAAGUUUUCAAUGCUGUUAAACCCAUUUAUGAAGAAUUGAGUCGCGAUGAACUAUUAUCUCGGUGCUUGGGUGGGUUUACGCAGAACAGCAACGAGUGCUUCAAUUCUGUUCUGUGGGCUCUCGCUCCUAAAUCUAUGUCCAGUGGCAAAAAAAUUGUUGACAUUGCUGCUGAUAUUGCAGUAUGUAAUUUUAACGAUGGGUUACACAGCAUUAUGGACAUUAUGCAAACUUUGAACCUGCCUAUAAGUAAAAGUUGCUAUACUUUUUGUGUAUAAGUCGAUAAUUAUCGCAUUCAGAGAGUGGAAGAUUCGAUGACUGAAGCUGUUCGAGAGGCUAGAAGAAGUGGUAUUUCUGCUCGCAAGCUUACUAAUGAAGAGGAUAUAGAUGCUGAAGGAGUAUUGUAUGGCGCAGGCAUUGCAGAUUGACGGAGCCACGUACAGAGCGGAAUUUGACACGCCGUCUAACGGUGUUCCUCCAAAGGAAUGUAUUUUAACGCCACCUACAAGAGAUUAUUUUUGACCUUUUCAGUUUCAAAAAAUGUGUAAUUACAGAUUAAAGUUACAUUAAUGAGU